rnacentral:rRNA from 1 species
AUUGAACGCUGGCGGAAUGCUUAACACAUGCAAGUCAAACGGCAGCACGGACUUCGGUCUGCUGGCGAGUGGCGAACGGGUGAGUAAUGCAUCGGAACGUGCCCAGUCGUGGGGGAUAACGUAGUGAAAAUUACGCUAAUACCGCAUACGACCUACGGAUGAAAGCGGGGGAUCGUCAGACCUCGCGCUACUGGAGCGGCCGAUAUCAGAUUAGGUAGUUGGUGGGGUAUAGGCCCACCAAGCCAACGAUCUGUAGCUGGUCUGAGAGGACGACCAGCCACACUGGAACUGAGACACGGUCCAGACUCCUACGGGAGGCAGCAGUGGGGAAUUUUGGACAAUGGGCGAAAGCCUGAUCCAGCCAUUCCGCGUGCAGGAUGAAGGCCCUCGGGUUGUAAACUGCUUUUGUACAGAACGAAAAGGUUUCUACUAAUACUAGGAGCUCAUGACGGUACUGAAAGAAUAAGCACCGGCUAACUACGUGCCAGCCGCCGCCGUAA